UGCCUCCGCUUCACUCCCAACCCCUGUGACAUACCACUUGUUGCCUCGGCGGAUCAGCCCGCUCCCGGUAAAACGGGACGGCCCGCCAGAGGACCCCUAAACUCUGUUUCUAUAUGUAACUUCUGAGUAAAACCAUAAAUAAAUCAAAACUUUCAACAACGGAUCUCUUGGUUCUGGCAUCGAUGAAGAACGCAGCAAAAUGCGAUAAGUAAUGUGAAUUGCAGAAUUCAGUGAAUCAUCGAAUCUUUGAACGCACAUUGCGCCCGCCAGUAUUCUGGCGGGCAUGCCUGUUCGAGCGUCAUUUCAACCCUCAAGCACAGCUUGGUGUUGGGACUCGCGUUAAUUCGCGUUCCCCAAAUUGAUUGGCGGUCACGUCGAGCUUCCAUAGCGUAGUAGUAAAACCCUCGUUACUGGUAAUCGUCGCGGCCACGCCGUUAAACCCCAACUUCUGAAUGUUGACCUCGGAUCAGGUAGGAAUACCCGCUGAACUUAAGCAUAUCAGAAGACCGGGAAGAUAUUU
rnacentral:rRNA from 1 species